CAACUGUCACUGUCAAUCUGGUAUCGCGUAAUAAAACGAAAAGAAACCCAAAACAAUAUUUCGAUCGUGACAAUAUGUUUCAUAAUAAAAACUAUCAUUAAAUCACUUCUAUCAAAUCAGUAAUUGAGUUUCGUAAUUGAAUGGCCACCAAAGUGGUAGCAACGGCUACAGUUCGAGCCAUAAACAGAAAGUUACAGCCGACUAGAGCAGCAAUCGUCAUGACACCUGCAGCUGUGAAUCGUAUCAAAGAGUUGCUUGUUGGCAAGACGGAAUACACUGCACUCAAAAUCGGUGUCAGACAGAGGGGAUGCAAUGGACUGUCUUAUACGUUGGACUAUGCCAAAUUGAAAGAUAAACUUGACGAGGAGGUCAUUCAAGAUGGUGUUAGAAUAUUCAUCGAUAAGAAAGCUCAACUGUCUUUACUAGGAACGGAAAUGGACUUCGUGGAAUCAAAGUUGUCAUCGGAGUUUGUUUUUAACAAUCCAAAUAUUAAAGGAACUUGUGGAUGCGGUGAAUCUUUCAGUUUAUAGAGACAACGAAAAGAUUAAAAUUUAAUCUCAGUGUGAUGCACCUGAUAGUUUACUUUACAGUUUUGUAAAGCUUAGCGACCAUUUUAAAGUUUUAAGUAAAUUCUUAAGUAUAUAGAAUAGUUGCUGCAAUAUUGUUUUGUGCGCAUAUGAAAGAAAAACGUUGCGAAAAUUGAAGAUUCCUCGACAAGUGCGCCGUAAUUUGCAUUCAAACUUCCGAACCGCAAUGAAUACAAAGUACUAAGUAUGGCCAAAUGACAAAAACUUGUUCUGGCCGCAUUGUUGCGACCGCAGCAUUAAUAUCUCAUUGGUUCGUCUACUCAAAUUGUUCGAAGUUGAUCAAGAGAAAUGGACCUUUGUGCGGAUAUGGAUUUCAUACGAACUCAUUUGAUGUAAAUUUUCACAACAAAUGAGUAUUCGUUCGACGCAAAAACAAGCGAAGUCCAAUAUGCUUCGGUCAUUACCUAGUGUUUUAUAUUCAUUGCCGAACCGGAUGUUUUCUUCUCAUGUAAAUUAUGGCAGUAAUGUCCAUGUAACUUAAUGUUUUAAAUAGUCUCUUCAAUACAUAAGCACGCUGUUGUAAAUAAUGACUUGUGGUUAUUAAUAGAAAUUAUUGAAAUAAA